CGUAUCUCUCCCCCCACUUCGACUCUUUCGAGGCCCCUCCGGUCUCCCCCCACCCAUUCCUCGGGACCUCAACAUGGCGCCUCUCCUUGCUGAUUGUGGCGGCCAAUAACCUGAUUCGGGGGUUUCUCCGGAGGAGGAUAAGUCGGUCUCUUUGUUCUCUGUUUGUUCCUCCUCUCUCGCGGGAUUUCUCUUUUCUUGGGAGUUUUCGCUUGCAAUUUUGGUUCUUGCAAGCUCGUUUGAUUGCUAGCUGUUAAAUAUGUUGGUGGAAUUCAUGGAAAAAUUCCUUUUUCCGAAGGAUAUUGGACGAGUCCAGCUCAAUUUUGGAAUUUUCUUUCAUGUUCUUUGCCACCACUCUGAUGUAAGAAGGGUUCUCGUGACCUUACGGCAAUCUGGAUUUUCGUGUGAGGGAAUUGUGGAAGAAGCACCAUUUUUUUCAUGAAAGCAUCUUAUUUUCAAACCCCCCUUUAGGAAAUGUAGAUGCACUGGCUGUGAAAUACAAUCUGUUCGUGUGUGCUUCGAAUUUUCUGUCAAGAACUGUAUCCCAAACUUUUUCUUGGCAAUGUGCAUCUAGUUCACUUCUCAAAUGGGUUCCUUAUGCUACUUAGAUCUCCGAAUCUUACAAAUCAGGGUCAUUUCCCUGGUUUUUACUUGUUUCUAAAGUCGCGUAUUUUGUUCAAGUGCUCGAGUUUGCCAAUGCUCAGUAUUGCGGCUAAUCACUGGCCAGUCGUCACUCUUCUUUCAAUUUGAUUUAAGUCUUUUGAUUCCUCGAGUUUUCUUUGGUUAUUCCUUUUAUCUUGUUUUCAGACUCAUCCUGUUUCAUCCCGCAAAUGAGGACUUCCUCUCGUAAGCUGGCAAGAUCUGAUUGUUUUAAUGUGAUGACAUGCACUUUUCUUGCUUCUUAGCUCAAGAAAUUCGAUGACAUGUUCUUUGAAUUUUUUUCUUCCUGAAAUGCCUCAUUUCUUGAUGAAUUGCACCAACAUUUUGGCAUUAAUUCUUCAUCGUAGUUUCAGUCUGAAAAGCAUUCUUCUUUAAGUGAGGUUUUAUCAUGGUAUGAUUAUGUCUUCCUUGUUUUCUUAGGUUUCCUUUGCUCUUGGCAAUAUUAGUUGCUGCUCUUGCAUUCAAGUGAUAAUAACACAAGCCUGGAGAAAUUUGUUGAUGAUUCUUCUCAUUAGAUCUCUGUCAGAAUACUUUAAAUCGCAUAAAAUUUUCCCUCUCUUUAUUCUUCAUCUGAAGAAAUAUGAGGUCAGGUUCGAAGAAGGGUUGAAAUUCCCUCAUGCUUCUUUGGCUAGACAGGAGAUCUUGCAGCCAUUUUUGUAUGUUUCCAAAGGUUUGGUCUGCCAGCCAUACACCAGGAAAUGCACUAGUUUAUCUGAAUGUAUAUGACUUGCCACCAAUGAAUGGUUUUAUGUACUGGGCAGGCCUUGGGAUAUUUCACACCGGUGUUGAAGGUAUUCUUUGCUGUUGCCUUUUUGGUUUAGAUAAAGGAUGCAUUAAAUAGAUACAUCAAUGGUAAGACAUCAUUUUAAUGUGCUUCUCUAUGCUGAAUUUGUUGUUUGAAACAUGAAUGGUGAAAAUUCUUGCAACCAAAUAUGUCAUCUAUCCACCUGCAUAGAUUUUUGUUUAACUAGUUCCUGGAUUUCUUUUUUGGACAUGAAAAUUUAUUAAGAAAAAUUCAUACUUAAUCCAAAUCCUAAUAGUUGUCAGGCAAGUUGAUGCUUCGGUACUUCUGUACAUUCCUUACAUGCUGGUUGGAUUGCUGCCUCCAAGUCAAUAUUUUCAUGGGGUGGAAUAUGUAUUUGGAGCACAUGACUAUCCGAGUAGCGGAGUCUUUGAGGUUGAGCCUCGUCAGUGUCCAGGCUUCAUGUUUAAGAAAUCAAUAUUCAUGGGUACGACAUGCUUGGACUCAUUGCAGGUUAGAGAGUUUAUGGAACUUCAGUCCGUUAAUUACAGUGGAGACACCUACCACUUGAUCAUGAAGAACUGCAACCAUUUCUGCAAAGAAAUCUGUCAUAAGAUGACCGGUAACUCCGAUUCCAAAAUGGGUGAACCAACUUGUAUGCUUCUUUUUGUUUAAAGCAUGAACAACUGUAGUUUCUGGAAGAUUUGUAUUCUGGUGAUCAUGAAGUAGUUCUGCAGUUUUCCUGCAUCUGAUGUUCCUGUUGCACAACUCAAAAUAUUGAUAACCACUUCAUGACUAUAUUUUUUUACAUCAAUGAUAUUAUCAUAAAAAAAAGUAUUAGAAGCCACUUCAAAUAUAGAGAGGAAAAUGUUGAUCCGAUCAUUAUUGUUUCAGUUUCUUGCCAAUGUAUUUAUAGCAAGGUCUGAAAUAUCGGUGCUUGUUCUGUAACCUAGAGUUCAGAUUUAUGGUUGGCUUGACCUUCAUAUAUUUUUGGAUGCACGUGGGAGAUUUUAAAAUUACCAAGUUUUGUAAGAAUAGAAUAACUGGAUUCUAUUGGGUGCUGGGACACUAGGCAAUUAUCUCUAGAUACAUCUUUAGAGAAAUUUAUUCUCUUGAAUGUUAAUCUCUGGUGAUGAAGAAGAUGGACAUGUGUUAAGAUUUGUUUGGUCUUACUUAGCAUUUGUUCUAUUAGUUCUCUUUCUUCUUGAUUGCAAUUUGGUAGACAUCGAGUCAGAUGAUUGCCAGCAAGUAUUUGAAUGCAUUAUGAAACAUGAACAAUGUACAUUAGUUCUCUUUCUUUUUUAUUUUGGUUAUGGUGUCUUCUAGUUAAAUGUUAUGGAGAAGCAAAUUUUGAUUGUCUGUAUGGAUUGAGCUUCAACCUCCUCCCUAAGGGCACUCUUCACCGGCAUUAUAACCAAGAUGAGUGAAAUAUCCUUUUCCAUUUGUUUGUGGCAAGCAGUGUAUCACUUCAACUUUGAUCAUUUUGUGUAGUUUUUUCUUAUUCUAAUUUGGCUAUUGAUCUUCCUGGACAUAUCAAAUGCUAUGGCAAUAUGCUUCUCUGCAGGUUCCCUUUGCAAAUGCUGACUGCCUGAUAACUGCUGUUCAGCAUGACCCAGAUUUCCAAUCCGAGGAUGGAGAGAGGAGGCAGCUGAGAACUGCUUUCAGUUGUCUAUCCUCGAUUUCUAUGUGCCAGAGGCAGUUCACUAUUUCUUCUCUUUUCUUGACAUCUCGUUUUAGAGGGUGCCUUUCACACUGGGAGUUAAGAAGGUCUAAUGUCAUUCCUUUGUAGGAAACCUGAAAAUAUCAUCAUCUGUUGACCGAGAAAGGUGUUGAUCGAGAAAGGAGUUACAGUUCUGA